rnacentral:tRNA from 1 species
UCUCUGGCGGUCCAAUGGUUGGGACUCUGCGUUCUCACUGCGGAGGGUCCAGGUUCCAUUCCUAGUCAGGGAA